GUGUCAGCAGCCGCGGUAAUACGUAGGGUGCGAGCGUUAAUCGGAAUUACUGGGCGUAAAGCGUGCGCAGGCGGUUCGUGAUGUCUGGUGUGAAAGCCCCGGGCUUAACCUGGGAAUUGCAUUGGAAACUAGCGGGCUGGAGUGUGGCAGAGGGGGGUGGAAUUCCACGUGUAGCAGUGAAAUGCGUAGAGAUGUGGAGGAACACCGAUGGCGAAGGCAGCCCCCUGGGCUAACACUGACGCUCAUGCACGAAAGCGUGGGGAGCAAACAGGAUUAGAUACCCUGGUAGUCCACGCCCUAAACGAUGGCAACUGGGUGUUGGGGAAGCGAUUCCUCAGUACCGUAGCUAACGCGUGAAGUUGCCCGCCUGGGGAGUACGGCCGCAAGGUUAAA
rnacentral:rRNA from 1 species